GCCGACAUAGCUCAGCGGUAGAGCGGCGCACUCGUAAUGCGCAGGUCGUGGGUUCGAAUCCCACUGUCGGCU
rnacentral:tRNA from 1 species